UAAGAUUAACGUUUAGCUGCAGACGUAUCAACGCCGGAGACCGACGGUCAACUCAAGAAACUGGCGGCGGAAAAAACAAACAAGAAAAAAAAUCCAAAAAGUCAACGCCGGAGACGGCGGUCAAUGCUGAAAACCGGCGGCGAAAACAAAUAAAGUCAACGCCGAAAACCGGCGCCAAAAAAAUAAUUUCAGAAAAAAAAAAAAAAGUUGAAAAAAAAAGUCAAAAUUAUUUUUUUGCGGUUAAAAUUGAUUAAAUUAUGGUUACAAGUAAGAAUUGGUUGUAAAGUGUUGCGGGUAAUUUUGUCAUAUAAAUUAAUUUUUCCUUUAUUUAUAAGGUAAAAUAGCACUGAACCUCCUUGUGGUUUGCACAUUUUG
rnacentral:lncRNA from 1 species